GGCAGGGUAUGGGCCACAGAAGAAGUUGAACCUGUCCCAUAAGCCCCGGGCCCCCAGCACUGACCUGCCAGAACCACGGCAGUCUGGGUUUGUUCCAGAAACUUCUCAGGAAACCCAAGUUUGAAGGAUGGUGACACAGGGGAGCCAAGGAGAGGGCAGGCCUUUCCUGAGUGCUGAGUCUGCAGGCCCUGCCCAGGAACAGGUGAGCGAGCUGGUGAGUGGUGUUUCAGGGCAUCGGGGAGCCAUGCAGGAGACACGAGGAGUGCCAGAGCAACUGCUGUACCAUCAACAGCCUGGCCCCACACACGCUCUGCACCCCUAAGACCAUCUUCCUGCAGUGCCUGCCCUGGAGGAAGCCCAAUGGGUACAGAUGCUCGCACGACUCAGAGUGCCAGAGCAGCUGCUGCGUCCGCAACAACAGCCCGCAGGAGUUGUGCACGCCCCAAAGCGUCUUCCUGCAGUGUGUGCCCUGGCGCAAGGUGAGCUGCGGGCACCCGGGGCAGAUGGAGCAGGGGUAGCCGGAGACAGCCCCUCUCCACGACUGCUGCCUGGCUGCCUCCCCAGCCCAACGGCGACUUCUGCAGCAGCCAUCAGGAGUGUCACAGCCAGUGCUGCAUCCAGCUGAGGGAGUACAGCCCCUUCCGCUGCAUUCCCCGGACCGGGAUCCUGGCCCAGUGCCUGCCCCUGUGAUGUGAGCUCGAACCUGGGCGCGAGGGACCGGCCUGGGCCCUGGGAUGUUCACGCAGGACCGCGUUGCGCGGGGGCUGGUUCCAGCGGAAGCUUCCCUUACGGUUUGUGCUGCUGUUUCUGGGGCUCUGAAAAUCUGUGGGAACUGAAAGGCUGUGACCAGCCUGGUGGCGCGAAGUGUCUGUGAGAACAAAUCCCAGGCACUGGGGUGUAGCCUGAUUGUUAAACAUCAAUAAAGGCUCCUGGCCGACUGAGCAGCCGUGUCUCACCCCUUCUGUGUUUUGAAUAAUAAAAGCAUAAAAUCUG
rnacentral:lncRNA from 1 species